UGCAGAGCGUUUAACGUAUCGUCACACUUACUCCGGUCCGGUGGAAUGUAAACUACUCCGAUGUAAAUCGACACAUGAUUAAGCUUGAUGCACGACCAGACCAGCUCCAGAUUUGCAUAUGUAUGAGUUAUCUGUGUACUAGAGAGCUUAGAAGAGCAUGCGAUCAGCACUCCUCCGCCGCGAGAGCGAGAACUGUUCUCACCAUUACGAUCACAUCGGUAAAUUGAAUAGGAAUCAUCAGAGAUGAGAGAGGAUGGUAUUGACUCGUCGAGCCACGUUUCUGUCAGUGCAAUUAUGUCGUAAUCAGAUUCUCCCAGAGCUAGACGUAGAUUAUUAAGUUUGGUACGAAUUCCUCUAACGUUCUGAUAAAACACGUGCAGAUGUAAGUUAGAAGAGACAUUCAGGUGAGUAUGAGCCGAACUAUCAUCGAGGCCCACAGCAGUGAUUGGUGCUACGCCAAGGUAUGGUGAGGAGCGGGGUGCCAGCUGAUUAUUAUUACUGUUAUCAACUAUUGCUGGAUUGUUACUUGCUGUCUGUCUGUUGUUGUUUCGGUGCGUAUAGCUUCGGUGGACGGUACUAUUGUGCAAUGUGUGUUCGGUUGCGGUGAUGAGCAAUGAGCGGGGCGAGGACCCGGGGUAGGAUGUGGCAUUGAUGCGUGGUGUGUGAUGGUAUGGUGAGGGGCGAGGUGCCAGGUAAUUAUUUAUACUGUUACUAUCUAAUGCUGGAUUGUUACUUGCUGUCUGUCUGUUGUUUCGGUGCAUGUGGCUUCGGUGGACGGCUCUAUCGUGCAAUGUGCGAUCGGUUUCGGUGAUGGGCAAUGAGCAAGGUGAGGACCCGUGGUGGGAUGUGGCAUUGAUGCGUGGUGUGUUGUUAUAGAUUUCCGAAGGUUUGUGGGGAAGGUUUCGAGAAGCAGGACACCAAAAAUUUUGAACAGGCGAUCGACGGUCAGUGAAUUCACGGAAAAUCAAUCCCGCAGGCCAGGUAGUCGGAGCGAGAGCCUUGCUUUUAAGCGAGAGCAUUAAUCCCACCUUAAACGAAACAAAAGUGAGAGUGCUCGUAUCGCGAUCCCGUGGCAGCAGCCUAAUAACGGUGACGUCAUCAGUGCCUUUGGUAAUCAGUUGGUGAGUAACCAUUGCUUUCACAUCUUGGUCUGAUACCGAGGGGGCUAUUCGCGUCAAAUACAGCCAGAACUUUUGUUCCAUCGGAACCGUAGCUAAGACCCGAGACGGUGUUGUAAUUGCUGUGCCAAAAAGUAGAGGAGCGGCAUUAUCGGUGGUUUUUGUGAUUGGUGGUGAAUAAUCGACAAGUCUACGUUUAGGCGCAUUGCGCUUCGGUGCAUUUUGAGAAGUGCGGAUGGAUUCACUAUUGCGUGCACUGAGUGGUGUGAAUGUGUUGGUGAGAGAUGGUUGCAUUUCCAGGCGGUCCACUAUGGAGCGAACAGAGUGUGAGGUUGUGUGCGUAUUAACGUCUUUCUUAAAGCUCCUCCUUGAAACCAUCCAGGACGGCCGUAAAUUCGUCCAAUAAUACAGAUUUGCAACGCCGGAUGUUCUUGCAGCCAGCACAGGACCAGGAAGUAAGCGACUCGGGGAUGAGAAUCUCAUUCAGCACUGCAUCAGAGACUCCCAGACAGGCAUGGUGAAACGAUUCAUUACACCAUCCAGCACACACAUAUACAUUCUCGUCCGUUACAGGCUUAAGGCAUGAAGGGCAGGGAGCAGCCAUGUCGACGAUCAGCAAAAGUCGUGAUCCAGAUGAGCAGCACACUUCAGCGCCAAACACUGAUGAAAAACUCGCCCGGAAUCGACUGAUGAAUACAGCAACGAUGAACUCGAUCAGUAAUCUCACUCAAUCAGGCCCGGAACAACCACAGCACGAAAAACACGUACAAAAAACGGAAAAAUAAUCAGAGCGCAAACCAGAACACAACCGUUGAGACCAAGUGUCAAGUGUCAAGUGUCAAAUUACACAUUAUAUGAAUAAUAUGCUAACCCACAUCGUCGCUAAUACACUUGUA